GCAGCCGACCCAUGUAGACGUGACUUACGUCAUCUCCUACACUUUAAUAUACUUUUGACAAACGGCAAGAAAGCCUCCCACUUUAAUUUCUCUGAUUGAGAAAACAGGAUCCGUUCAUUUUCAAGUGAGUCCUACGGAGCUUGUUCAUGAUCUCUCCCUCAUAAGUCUGCAGCGAACGGCGUCUCCCCCAGAGGAAUGUUGGUCUUCCAUUCACUUCUUUGCAGAGGAGUCACUCGUUUCCGAGUGUGGGUCCACCGGAGCUGACCAUCUUACUAAGAGUUCCGCUGUUUGGUGCUGAUCUCUCUCCCUCGUGAGUCUGCAACGAAAUGCAACAGCAUCUCCUCCACUGAAAUGUUGAACGUCCAUUCAGACUUACUUGCAGAGAUCCUUUUAAUGGGCGCCCUCAUCCGGAGAACGAAAUCUCUUCUUUGAUGUCACCUGCCCCUUCGGAAUUUUAUUUCGCCUAUGUUUUACCUGGGAAGAUUUUCUUCUUCAGUUUCAUUUAUCAAAUCGUUUUUAUCCUGUGGUUGUACACAUUUCUUAUUUUGUUAUUGUUUUGCUUUUUUGUAAAGGGACGACGGAGAAUUUACCUCCCAAAUCCCCUUUAGUACUACCAACAAUGACUCAUAAGAAGGAUCAGGGUUAAGAACUCUGGAAACACGGAGGAGGGUAAAGAAUUCCACGUUAUGGAAGUGACAGAAGGAUGGACUGCAAUAGUUAACCUCCGAUUUUGUUGUUGUUGUAAUUUUG